rnacentral:rRNA from 1 species
GCAGCAGCCACGGUAAUACGUAGGUGGCAAGCGUUGUCCGGAAUUAUUGGGCGUAAAGGGCUCGCAGGCGGUUUCUUAAGUCUGAUGUGAAAGCCCCCGGCUCAACCGGGGAGGGUCAUUGGAAACUGGGAAACUUGAGUGCAGAAGAGGAGAGUGGAAUUCCACGUGUAGCGGCGAAAUGCGUAGAGAUGUGGAGGAACACCAGUGGCGCAGGCGACUCUCUGGUCUGUAACUGACGCUGAGGAGCGAAAGCGUGGGGAGCGAACAGGAUUAGAUACCCCGGUAGUCCUGUCUCUUAUACC